rnacentral:lncRNA from 1 species
GAGAGAGAGUUUACCACUGCACCUGUAGCCAAUAUGUACAUAUCUAUAGGUGCCUCAUCGUGCAAUAUUAUAUCUUCUCUAGGAAGAAAUACUUAACCUUCAUCUUAGAGACCUUUGCAAGAUUGAGUCAUCUAGAUCAAGAACAUGGAAACCUAGCUCAAAGAAAUUCAAAAAAUGAAAUGAGACCAUCAAUCCUAUUCAUUACCAGCUGAAAGAGCCCUUUAAACAAAUAUACCUGAGGUAAAAGGGUGAUUGAGAAUGACAAUACACAUUAGAGCUGGUAAGAGCAAUAGCCUAUGUGUUACAGUAUAGUUGAAGUUAUGCACUUUCUCAGCUCUUCUAGCUUUGGUAAGAACAUGUGACAAAAAAUCCAAGCAAUUGCCUUACUAAACAUUCAGAAAUUAAUAAUACAAACACAUGGGCAGCAUGUCAUUUAAGUGAUUUAAACUUACCAAAUCCACGAACCUUCUGUAUAAAUAGGUUUGAUCCAAAUACAAAAUAAUUAUCAAACAACAAUCUCAAUUAUAUUCAUUAAUACCCAUGCAUCAAUUAGUUAAUAAUUUAACCACAACAACUUUACCGGAAAAAUAAGAACAAUAAUGAAAAACAACAUCACCUACUAACUUUAGCAUAUCUGUACUCUCCAACAUAUGCAACAAUGCCUAAUAAAAUGAAUAGCUCCAUAUAGUUAAUAAUCAAACUUAUUACUUGGCAUGUUAACUAUAACUGUUAUAGCUUCACAACUAUAAGUUAGACAAUGUUAAAUAAGAGUUAGGGGUGAAAAACAGAUAUACUAGAAGAAGCAGGAGAUAAUGGCUCUAGGGAGCAUCCAUUUCAACUUCACUGAAAAAAAUAAUAGAGAGAAAUGUACUUACUAUUUCUUACACACAAAAAAAGAGCUAAAUCAACAUAAAACCAAUAUUAUAUCUCUAUAAGACUAUGGAUAGAAAUAAUGCAGAGAGAGAUAGAGAAGUUAAACAGAGAAUGCUAAAUAUUUAGAGAAUAGAAAAUUCGUGAAAUAAAAACGAACAGAUCUACAAUUUUUACGAACAAAUCAAU